UUUUCUUAAAUUGUGAGUCUCUAAAAAAUAUUAGGUUGAGCCAAAAAGUAGAGGAGGAGAGCACACUCCAAGUAACUGUUCUUUUUUUUUUUUAAUUUUUAUUUAUUUAUGAUAGUCACAGAGAGAGAGAGAGAGAGGCAGAGACACAGGCAGAGGGAGAAGCAGGCUCCAUGCACCGGGAGCCCGACGUGGGACUAGAUCCCGGGUCUCCAGGAUCGCGCCCUGGGCCAAAGGCAGGCGCCAAACCGCUGCGCCACCCAAGGAUCCCAGUAACUGUUCUUCUACCUUUCCGUGUGGGAGCAUACCAUGUACUUUUCUGUCCUUUGAUAUCUUUCACUUAUGUAAUUUUGGAGACUUUCUGGAACAGAAUGUCGACAUCAACCUCAUUUCCAGUGCUCCGUGGUUUUUCAGGAGGCGCUCUUCUUCAGCGGGUGCAGCCAGGCCCCUUGGUUGAGCAUGGGCUGGAGGGCUGCCCAGACCCACACAAUAGCCUCGGCCCCAUGAGGCUGCCUUGGGCCGCAUCUCGGCCACCUGAUACUCCGCUUCCGCCAGCCUGGAGAACCAAGGCCUCUUCAGCCCUGCACUAACGCCAUCCUCAACUCUGUUUCCUGAUUUUAUCUUCUUUAAUUCAUUAAACAGCACUUUUGCCAUCUUCUCGUCUUUUAGGUGUUCAGAGGAUUCUAACAUUCUACUUCCAGCUCUUAGACUUGUUCAGAUUUUCUAAAAUGGGAAAGGUUGGGUCCCAUUUACAGUUGUUCACGCCAACUCCCAUUCAGCCUUUUCUAGGAUUUUUCUUUAGCUGCUCUACACUUUCACAGCAACUUAGAGUGUGACAGGAAUCCUCAAACAUUCAAGCAUCUCGGCCAGUAGGGACGCAGGCCUGUAUUCCUAAAAUGAAUAUCUAAUCUUGUUCCAGGAGGGCUCCACUUUUAUCAUCUUCAGCAUAAUCCCUUUAAAGCAUGACUCCCUGGCAAAUCCAAGCUGCUAUGGUAUGAAAAUUCUCAUUAAGGGCAAAAACCAAAGCUGCUUUUGGUGGUAAUGCUGUUAGACUGUCAGCCUCGUUGUCAGCCAAAUUAACAAAAUACAUUUCUACUAAGCCAGCUAAUGCUGGUAAGGAAUCAGUAGCCAAAUCCAUUUAACUCUCAGAAGCUUAAAUGCUGUUAAAUCACAUUUUUUUCCUUGUGGGGCUGAGUGCUAGAAGAUAUGCAUGGAUUAUAUAUUUCCAAAUAGUUGAAAAAAUGAGAACACAUGAAAAGGAGAAUUUUUUACUUUUUAUGUUUCAGUCGUAGUCAUGGCAUGUACUGUCUAUUACCUGUAAUACUCUAUCACAAAUACACAUGACAAUUAUUUCAGUCUCUUCUGGUACAGUUAACAAAAUUGCGUUGAACAAAGCAGCAGUUAUCCAGGGUAAGUGGUACAUUGAUGUGCUCAUUUUCUAGAGAGCCACAUUGCACAGGUGAGGUCCACCAGUGGAUCAAACACAAAUUUCAUGGAAAUUGGUUUUAAAAGUAUCAAAACAGGAAGAACAUGGAAAUCCCACCCCACCCACCACCCCCGAAUCUUCGACAGCACAUAGGAGAUCUGUUCAUGCAGAUGCUUUUCUCUUCCCUGGAAUUCCACAGGCAGGCUGGGAGGUGGAAGGAGUUCUUAGAAGCCACACAUCUGACAUCAUCACAAAUUAGUUUUGCCUCUUGCUGGUUCAUAUUCCCUGUGCUCAGGUGCAAAGAAAACUCAUUAAGUCUCCAACUGAAUUUCAGUCAAAGGACGCAGUUCUACCUUUUUCGUCCCAGCCAGUUUCACUGCUGGGAGUACCACCAGCUUUCUCUUUAGCUGUCAACACAUUUGGAAUAGACUUUUCUCUGUGGGAAAAGAUUGUAUACAGCAGUCUGGAUUUUGGUAUAUAAUUUCAUUGUAAAUAAGACAGACUUCUAAAAACUCACUUAGGAACCACCACACAGCUUCAUCUGGGAUUUGGCCAACAGUUGUUGGAGUUUUAUUAAAUCAGCUGUUUCUCUAACUGUGAAAAGCAGAGGUUGAAAUUUUAUAUUUUCUCAAAUCCUCAACCUCUAGCUCAAAUAGCUAGGGAUGAUUCGGAAUAAUAUAAUAUGGGGUAUUUUCAGAAUUAUACAUUCACUUUGUUUACCUGAAUGUGAAGAGAAUUGAUAAAAUUUCGUCUUAGUGUAUCAAAUUUGAAGUAUAUCCCUUCUAGAGUCUAGAAUCCCCUUUUUGUGUACACUAUAGGGGAAUAAUCUGUUUGUUAUUGCUGAUGGGGCUUAGUUUGUAACUGACAAAGGAGCAGUGCUAGAUACGAAAUAGGAUUUUUAUUUGUUUUUUUUUUAAAGAUUUUUAUUUAUUCAUGAGAGACACACACACAGAGAGAAAGAGAGAGAGAGAGAGAGUCAGAAACACAAGCAGAGGGAGAAGCAGGCUCCAUGCAGGGAGCCCAACGUGGAACUCGAUCCUGGGUCUCCAGGAUCACACCCUGGGCCGAAGGCGGCGCUAAACAUCUGAGUCACCUGGGCUGCCGGGAUUUUUGUUUGUAAUGGAAGAAAGGGUUGACUUUCUAAAUACCUAGGGAUGGUUGCAAAUUUAAACUAGAUAGACAUCUAUUUUAAGAGUCUCAUUGCUUCCUAAAAGUGAAAGUAGGUUGAAUUUUAAUUCUUAACUCCAAGACAGAUAAACAUUUCUGUUUCACACAAAACACCACAGAAUUUAAAAAAAAAAAAAAGGGCAGACUUCCAUUUCCUGUUAGAAAAUAGCUCAGUUAUUCAACAAUAAAUAUUAAUGAACACUUACGAAGUGCUAGGUACUCUACCAGGAGCUGAGAGUACAAGGUGGAGCACAACAGAGUAAACUCUCUUCACUGUCUUCGUAGAGCUCAUGUAGCUCAUAAGGGCUUCUGGCAUGAAUUGAAACGUUAACAAAGUGUUGAUCUGAACAAACGAAUGUUCUUCACUAAAUGGGUGAAAUGGCAAAUGUGAUAAAAACUAUAAAUAAAAAAAUACUGCACAAAGGACUUCUGUGAUGUUCUUUUCCUUUCAUGGAGCAUCAAGAUUCUUGAAUCUCUCCACUAUUGUGUUGUUAAUAAUGAACAGAACUUUUCGAUUCAUUUGUUCUAUGGAAAGGAUUGUUUUCUGGAAACCAUCUUGCCAAAGUGGGGAAAAAACAUCUUUCCUGGGGAGAUUCAGACAAGGAGCUGUAAAAAAUUCUGGCAGGACGAGUGCUGAAGGGAGAGGAUGUCAGCAAUUGGAAAUGGCUUGGUUGCCAGAGGCUGCAUAUGAUGACAUUAGGAGCCACAAGAUGGAAUUAGACUGAGGCCAUGUGCAGGUCUGGUUAAGCUCAAAGCCUCUAACAACACGCCAUGAACUGAUUGCGGGACAGCCAUAGAAGCAGCCGAAUGCAGCUUUACUAUCUCUGGAUGGGAGUCUGGUUUUGAGAUCCAAAGUCUGGGGAAAGUGUUGAGAAAUCAUGACUACACUCCUCGAUGCUUCGCCCUGUUCCACCCACCCCAGUCCUCAGCUUUGAUCCGCAGCCCCGUCACAGAGUGCCUUCUCCCUGGGAAGAGCUCCAACCUAGAACAUCCCCAUGGCUACAGGGAGAGAGGAAGGAAGAGAGGCAGGAAGGGGAGAAAGAAAAGAAGAGAGGAAAUAUGUCUCUGCUUUGCAAGUGACAUGAAGGUUUGCACUGUGCUGGCUUAUGUGCAAUUGCUUCUGUCUUUAGAGGCGCCCCCCCCCCCCCGCCCACUCCUCUAAUCGGGGCACCUGGGCUCCCUCCUCCAUCUG
rnacentral:lncRNA from 1 species